rnacentral:rRNA from 1 species
UACGUAGGGUGCAAGCGUUGUCCGGAAUUAUUGGGCGUAAAGAGCUCGUAGGCGGUCUGUCGCGUCGGAUGUGAAAAAUCCAGGGCUCAACCCUGGACCUGCAUUCGAUACGGGCAGACUAGAGUUCGGUAGGGGAGACUGGAAUUCCUGGUGUAGCGGUGAAAUGCGCAGAUAUCAGGAGGAACACCGGUGGCGAAGGCAGCACUCUGGGACGUGACUGACGCUGAGACGCGAAAGCGUGGGGAGCAAACAGG